rnacentral:rRNA from 1 species
AUUGAACGCUGGCGGCAGGCCUAACACAUGCAAGUCGAACGAGUGGCGGACGGGUGAGUAAUGUCUGGGAAACUUCCUGAUGGAGGGGGAUAACUACUGGAAACGGUAGCUAAUACCGCAUACCAUCAGAUGUGUCCAGAUGGGAUUAAGUUGUUGGUGGGGUAACGGUCUACCAAGGCGACGAGCCCUUGCUGGUCUGAGUGGAUGUGAAGCCACACUGGAGCUGAGAGACGGUCCAGACUCCUACGGGUGGCAGCAUUGGGGAAUAGUGCACAAUGGGCGAAAGCCUGAUGCAGCCAGGCCGCGUGUUUGAAGAAGGCCUUCGGGUUGUAAAGUACUUACAGCGGGGAGGCGUUACCCACAGAAGAAGCACCGGCUAACACCGUGCCAGCCGCCGCGGUAAUAC